rnacentral:rRNA from 1 species
AUGGGGUUCAGGAAGGGCCUCCUGGCGUGCUUCGGGCCGGGCGGAGGAGACGAGGAGACGGAGCAGGAGGCGCGGGCGACGCCGGGGGCGCGGCGGCGGCGCACGGUGAUGAACCUGCACGCCUUCACCCUGGACGAGCUCAAGUCCGUCACCAAGAAUUUCUCCACCGCCAACUUCCUCGGCGAGGGCGGCUUCGGCCCCGUCUACAAGGGGUGCGUCGCCGGCGGCCUCCGCCCAGGCCUCGCCGCGCAGCAGGUCGCCGUCAAGUACCUCGACCUCGACAGCGACGGCGUGCAGGGGCACCGCGAGUGGCUGGCGGAGGUGGUGUAUCUGGGGAUGCUGAGCCACCCGCACCUGGUGAAGCUGCUGGGGUUCUGCAACCAGGACGACCACCGCAUGCUCGUCUACGAGUACAUGCCCCGGGGCAGCCUCGAGAACCACCUCUUCAACAAUCCGCUGGCGCCGCUGCCAUGGUCGACGCGGCUUAAGAUCGCCGUGGGCGCGGCCAAGGGGCUGGCGUUCCUGCAUGAGGCGGANNNNNNNNNNNNNNNNNNNNNNNNNNNNNNNNNNNNNNNNNNNNNNNNNNNNGAUUACGCAGCGAAGCUGUCGGACUUCGGGCUGGCCAAGGAGGGGCCGAAGGGGGACGACACGCACGUGACGACGCGGGUGAUGGGCACGCACGGCUACGCGGCGCCGGAGUACAUCCUCACGGGCCACCUCACGGCCAAGAGCGACGUGUACAGCUUCGGGGUGGUGCUCCUGGAGCUGCUCACGGGCCGGCGCUCCGUCGACAAGCGGCGGCGCGGGCGGGAGCAGAACCUCGUCGACUGGGCGCGCCCCUACCUGCGCCGCGCCGACGACCGGCUGCACCGCGUCAUGGACCCCGGCAUGGAGUCGCAGUACUCCACGCGGGCGGCGCGCGGCGCCGCGGCCGUGGCGCACUCCUGCCUGCAGAGCGUGCCCAAGGCGCGGCCCCGGAUGCGCGACGUCGUGGACGCCCUCGAGCCGCUGCUCGCGCUCGACGACGACGUGCCCAUGGGGCCCUUCGUGUUCACGGUCUGCGAGCCGGAGGCGGCGGCGGGCAAGGGGGACGGCGCCGGGGACGACGAGCCGGCGGCCGCGCAGGGCAAGUGGCACGUCAAGUCGGCCGUGCACGCGGACAGCCCGCUGCGCAAGGGUGACUGCUGGGUCACCAGCGCCGCCAAACGGCCGGAGAGCCCCCCGGGUGUGAUCUGA